UAAAAGUAAAGCCCCUCAAAGGGAAGUAUUUUUUCCCUGGUGAAUAUUUUAGCAGUAAUUUGGAAUUAUACAAUUCUUCUAACACUUCGGUUUUCGUAGAAUGCGUCACUUGUUUUUUGGAAAGUAAAAUGCUUUAUAGUACAAAAUAUAUAUCAAUCGAAAAAAAAAACCUGCGAGGUUGCCACGACGCCUAUACUUAAAAUAAGCUUGUUAACUUUAAAACUGACUAGAAGCUGCGACUGUUUUUGAAGCUCAGGGACUUUCUUCUUCUCAAUUUUGAGCAUUAUGUGAAACAAAUGUCUGUAAGCAAGUUGCAAAGUUUUUCUAUCUUCCAAUCCCCUUUACAGAUUUUCUUUAAAGCAGUUUUAUUUAAACCGCUCGAGAAGAAAAGUUCAGUUAUCAGGAUUCCAAUUCCUUUACACUGCCCCCCAUUUAUUCGCACCAACGCAUUUACCUUUGUCUGCCAGCUUAAAAUUUCAGUUUUUAUUAGCAACGGACCAAAAAUACCUACAUAUACAACUGUACCUUUACGGAUCUAUCCGUUGCUCGAUCUGUUCGAGGACAAUAAUCAUUUUACUUUGAGAGAAUCCUUAAGUUUUGGAAGGGAACACCCCUAUUAUCCGUACGCCCACGAAAUCCUACUAAAGAAAUUUUUUAACUUUUCUAAUAAUCUCGACGCUGGUUUUGAAUAUGAGCUGCCUUUUUUAAAGGAAAGUCCAGAACAGAGUCAUUAUUUCCCUUC